UGUGAGAUCAUGACCUGAGCUGAAGUCGAAUGCUUAACCAACUGAGCCACCCAGGCGCCCCCAGAUAUUUUUCUACCAUGAAGAAUGGAACAGAUAAGAAGGGUCCAUUUGAAGCCUCACUUCAAACACCAGCCAUAAUGGAGUCCCAUGAUGAAAAUGAAACAGGGGUGGAUGCUAACUAGAGUGUACACAUCACAAUGCUAACCCCUACUGACACACUGAUGUGUGAGCUCAACAAUCCCCCAAAGAAGUCUAUGUUUAGGCGUUUAAAUAUAAAGCUAUAACAGAGAGAAUUUCUCUGAAAGCUCAAAUACUUGAUAAAAUUAGCACUAUUCCUGGCCAUACAAUUUGUAUAACAGGGUAUGGGGAUUCUGAAAUGUGUUGGGGGAAAAGCUCAAGAAGGUAGCAGAUUGAGGAAAUGCUAUCUUGGAGGCAACUUAGAAGUGACAUGUGGUUGGCAGGUCCUAAUCAAAUAACACUGGACGAGCAAGUGGUAAUGAAAGACCCCAAUUAUAGAAGAAUAAUCUCCAUGAAGUCUUAGAAGAUUCCUGAUCCAACGUUCUCAUCUACCGUGGGCCACUGGGCAAUUCCUGGGUCUUAGGAGAAAAGGCUCAACUUAUAGUUGCUUGACAGUAUCUCUCACAUUUAAAAUUGAAAAUAGUGGGCCAAAAGACUCAAGGAAGGAGUGGCUUAUAUAUUUAAGAGCCCCUUGCAAAAGGUAUAUUUAAGAGCCAUUGCCAUCAAGUUUACUAGUCAAAAUAAUACAAAAAGAUCACAAAGGAAUAAAAGAGAUUUUGUGCAAUUUUGCCCGUGGAAGAUUCAAAAUAGCUUUGUAGCUACUAUUUUUUUUAUUAUGAAUCUGUAAAAAAUUGACAUUGUAUUUACUUCUUUGAGAAGAUUAAGUUGAGAAUGGUAAAUAAGAGAAAAGGAGAACAAUUAAUUUUAAAUGAGUAAAUAUAUGCAGAGGAUCCACUCUCUGCUAAGUACCAUGCUAGGCGGUAGGAGAGCAAAGGGAAAUCAGAAGACCAUGAAGUUGUCCAUGUUCUAUAGGGGAGAUGGAGAGAUCUCAUGCUACCUUGCCUUUGUAUAGGUUCCUCCUCUGCCUCAUGCCAGCCCUUGGCCAUCUAUCAAAACUUGUAUCUUGCAAGAUCUAGUUCAUGUAUUAUACCUUUGGCAUGCCUUCCUUUACCCCACCUAUUCCCAGGUGAGGCUAGGUUCCAGUUCCGUGGCAUUACUACACAUCUAUGCAUUUCUAUAGGGGCAUAUACAUCCUAUCCUCAUUGCUAGACUGAGUGUUCCUUUCUAACCCCAGUACCACAGAACCUGGUCCUCACUGGAUGGAAGUACAAAUGGAUACUAAAUGGAUACUAUGCAAUAAAGACAUUAUUAGUAUGAACAAAGUGCUUAGUAAUGAAGAAGAGAAUGAUUGGUUCUGCCUGACAAAUGAGGCACUAAUUAUAAAGGCAUUUGAAGAUGGUGGCAUUUACUGGCUUCAUCUGCUUUAUCCUCCAGUCUGGAUACUGGUUUCUACUGCCCGAAGUUACUCAACCCUCAUCGUUGUGGUUACAUUUUUACACUAUCCAAGUAUUUGUAGCCAAGGAAGACAUUGAAAAGUGUUCCUAAGAUUGAGGGAAGUAUUUACAACUCAAAAGGGAAGACACUAAGAAUAAAUCAUAAUCUUGAUAAUGAUGUUAAAAGUUUACAUUUUUAACCCUGAAGAGCAGGAAUCCACAAUCUAUGGCCCACCAACUAUGUCUGUAAUAAUAAAGUUUUAUUGGUAUA